rnacentral:rRNA from 1 species
UACGGAGGGGGCAAGCGUUGUUCGGAAUCAUUGGGCGUAAAGAGUAUGUAGGCGGCUAUUUAAGUCAGACGUGUAAGCCCACGGCUCAACCGUGGAAUUGCGUUUGAAACUAUUUAGCUUGAGUACAGGAGAGGAAGGCGGAAUUCCCAGUGUAGCGGUGAAAUGCAUUGAUAUUGGGAAGAACACCGGUGGCGAAGGCAGUUCACUGGACCGUGAUCGACGCUGAGGAGCGAAAGCUAGGGGAGCAAACAGG